rnacentral:piRNA from 1 species
UGACCACUUUUCCAUGAACCUCCAUAAGC